UUAGCGGCGGACGGGUGAGUAACGCGUGGGAAUAUACCCUUUGGUACGGAAUAGCCUCGGGAAACUGGGAGUAAUACCGUAUGUGCCCUUCGGGGGAAAGAUUUAUCGCCAAAGGAUUGGCCCGCGUUGGAUUAGGUAGUUGGUGAGGUAAUGGCUCACCAAGGCUCCGAUCCUUAGCUGUUCUGAGAGGAUGAUCAGCCACACUGGGACUGAGAUACGGCCCAGACUCC
rnacentral:rRNA from 1 species